AAUCAGAAACUGCAGGGCAGGGGUAAAAUCCUAAAGCUGGUUAUGCUGUCAGGACGGGUCCUGCUUGGCUUUAUCUGUGGGGAACCUGUCCCCAAGGUACCAAGCACGCACGCACAGGAGAAAUUAUAUAGCAACAGAUGUUUGUAAUCUUUGCAGUUGUGGGUAAUCUCUGGUGCACCUGCUCCUGCUAAGUCACCAGCAUCACCUGUUCUUUAGUUAUCCCAGGAAAGCUUUUCUUGUUAUCGGUUGACGUGGAGAUGGUCAAGUGCCUGCACCGCAGCUACAGUAAUGCUUGGUGUGUAUGCAAGAGGCAGCGAUCGCCCGAAGGGCCAGGAGAUACCCUUGUCCCGCCUAAAUGCAUCCCAGCGAUUGAGCCAUCCUGACUUGCUCCCCCUCAUUAACAUGUCCCCUGCUUGGCUCUUGGUGAGAAUGUUGUUAAGCAAUGAGCCCCUCCUCUCGUUUCCGAUGGGUUAGUCUUGAUGUAUAUUGUCAUAAAUGUAAUCCCUUUUUUAAAUUCUGGUGGCUAGAGGCUGCUAGCAAAGGUCCUGGGCAUUCACUCCGUAGGGAUUUCAGACUGUCAUCGCUCCCAUUCGCCUCCUGCAGGUGCCCCCGGGGGGGCUCUUCCUGCUCCAAGCGCUUGUUUCCUGUAAGCUUCACUCCACAUAUAAGCAGGGACUGGGGUGUGCUUAAAGGUGAAUGGAUACAAGGCUCUGAGACCUGCAGCGUGGGCUCCACCAUGCAGCAUUUACCUUUUCAUGUCACAGCCUCCCGCUGAGUCUUUAUCUUCAGGUCACCAUGACUGGCUUGCUGCCCUUAGUUAGGGACCCCUGUAAAUCUGCAGUGCAUUAAAAGAACAACAGCAACGAAAAAAUCCAGCCAAACAAAUCAUAACACCCCCUCUCCCCUUGUCUGCCUUCAAAUAGCUCCAGAGUCCUCAGAGUUGGAACGAACCUCUGAAAUCACUGAUUCCAUCCUUGCUAGUACAGGAUACAGUCCCCCGAUCAAAGAUAAGGCCUGUAUUCUAUGUAUUAGGCAAUCAGCUCCGUCCAUUGUGUGUAUGAGUAAGAAUCAGCCUAGGAGAAAAGAACAUUUCAAAUCACUUGUUUUAUUGCUGUUUGUGACAGAGGGCUGGAAACUAGCCGGGGAACCGGCUCUGAUCACUUUGGCGCCAACCAGUUUCCCUGGGGAGAAGGCAGAUUGGGACUGUGCAACUGAUUAGCUGAUCAGGCUAGGAGGGCUGAUGAACCAAUUAGCAAUAGCUGAGGGAUAUAAAAGAAGACACCGGAAGGUAAUGAGGAGGGAGGAUCUGGUCUAACUGAGUCUAGUUUGUGUGGGAAAGGAAACUGGGGAAGGCUGAGAGCGCUUCAGGGAGGCUGGAGGAGGAAGAGCAGCGGCGGUCUGAGAUGAUCACUGCUGGACGUGAAGUUUGUGGUGUGAAUGGAAAGGAAUGGGUGGACUUUGGAGACGAUGCUGAUUACCAGCAGGAGACCUGCCGUUGGCUUCACUAAGCCAUCCUGUGCUCUCGGCCCAUGGAAGCCACGCUCGUGAUGCAUCCUCCAAGCUGCUGGCUUCAACACCGGCCCCAAACUGAUUUCACUUCUCAAACCAGGCCCAGCCAACCACUAACCUUGUGUGCUGUCAAGUUGUAGUGUUCUGCGCUCACCUGCGCUCGGCAUCUGCCAAACCACAUACAUGAGAAGUGGGGAAAUGGAGUCCCGCUUCAGCAACGUAAAACACAAAAAUCAUUGUGAUCCUUACCCCUGGUUUCAAACUGAAAUUAUUGUGUGCCAGGCAGAUCUUUCUGAAAGCAAAGGUGGUGGUAGCAACGUGGUUUUAAUUACCUCAGCCCUGUGCAAUCAACUCCGGUUCGUUGGGUGGCCCAAAGACCUGUUGCUUGGGAGUUCUCACGGCUUCUGAUGGAGUUAUCACGUCGUUCUAGCAACAGACCAGGAUCACUCUGAGAUGGCAGGCAAUGCCUCGAUGUGGACUAUUGGAUGUUUAGUUUGAUUGGACGCUUUGCAUGGGACAAGGGUGCCAUCCCUUCAGGACACUCCAUUUCUGGGGAGCGCCUUUGGUGCCUUUAAUCAGUCACCUUGUCAAAGGGCAUCCUCCUUCACCAUCAGCACCAUCCCCCACCAUGGGUGACACCAACAUGUGCUGGCCCCCAGAGAUUAUCUGCAUAUUCUUGGGCCUCUUUUCUGACUCUGAAAGAUCUGAUGAAGAGAGGACUCCAGGCAACAUCUCCAUCCCCAUUACUCUUUCCUGAGCAAACUCUAAGACAUGAACCACACAUUCUUGCUACUCCAGUCCCAUGUCCUCUGGUGUGUUAACUUCACCCCUAACUUUUUCCUCUCACCUCUCUUCCCUAUUUCUCUUGCCACCUUCUCUUUAGUAAGAAUCGGGCUCCUUUAGCCAGGACAGAUGUACCCCUGGAACACUUUGCAUUGACGAGUUUGGCAAACUACAAAGAAUGCAUGAGCAGCCUUGUUCCAGAAAGGGCUUUAGUCCAGUCUUAUCUGGAAUCCAGUGAGCUGUUUUUCACAGCCAGGGCAGCAAAGCUGGGGUCCAGGAGUGACUGACAGGGUCACGUGCUAAUGCUUGCAGUCUUCCAGGAGCUGAGAGUGUGUCUACCCAGCAAAGAAAAGCCCAGGGCUGCCCUGUGCCAGCUGACUCAGACUUGCAGGCCGCGGGCUGCGGGGUUGUUUCGUUGCGGUGCAGGCUUGGGCUGCUGCCUAGGCUCUAGGACACUGCAGGGUGGGAGGGUCCCAGGCCUUGGGCUUCAGCUGUACAGUCCCAGAUGGAGCUGUGGCACGAGGGCAUCCUCCACUGGCUGCUGCCCCUAGAGCCCCAUCUCAUGAGGGUGGGUACGGGAGCAUAGAGGGGACCCCUUUAAGUCAAUGCUCAGCGUUAAGUUAGGGUGGGUCUGCUGACAGGCUUGAUGGUGAUGGGAGAUUUGAUGACGUAGACAGCAGCUGUUUCAUCCCCUCCCCACCUACAGAUCCUGGUCCCAUGGUGAACCCAUGGAGAGGCUUCUGCUGGGUCAGGGGAAAGAGAAGCAUACCACAGAGCUGGCCCUUCCCAUUCCCUGGAUCACCACCCCCAGACCAGGGGACUGGUGCUCCAUUCUCUUGCACCAGUGUAACUCUGUGAUGUUACAGAGAGGGGAAUUGGGCCACAGAUUUUUGCUCCUCCCUCCCCCACACACUCACCAAAUUAUAAGGCCCCAUGGGACCCUAUCGCACUGGCUGUGGCAACUCACAGCUGGUCUUCCAGAUGCUGGUGCAGCCUAGCAAGGUUCUGCUUUAUUACGAUUCAAUUUCCCUCUUCCACAAUUAUGAAACCUCAGGAAAUCUCUUCCCCCCCCACCCCCAAAGUUACCGUGUUUCCAUAGGCACAUUAUCCAUCAGUAUCCACCUGUUCUAUCUUGUCUUAGAUUGUCAGCCUUUUAAGGCAGGGGCUGCCUUUAGUUCUACGUUUGUACAGCCCUUAACACCAUGGGGUGUACUUCAAGAGGCUAUCGAAAUACAAACACGUGGAACUGGUUGAACUGAUGUUCGGCAAGCGCGGAUGGCUUUGGCAACGCACCGAAGCCUGAUGCUUCCCUCUGCUGCUCUGAGCACGGCCGUUUUGCAGUAGCAUUAGCAGGUGUGAGACAGAGGGAACUUUUCUGUUUGUCAGCAUGCUCGUGCGGGUGAGGUGGGUGACAAGGGCCAGGGUUCAGAGCUUAUGAGUAAGAGCUGGGAUCUCCGCAGCUGCCUCCAGAGGAGCAGAGUAGGAGGAAGGGCCACGCUGAAAGCUCUAUAGGAAGGGAGAUAACCAAGGUGUCUUGUCACGCUCCCCUCCUAGUUUCCUAGCAGGCAGCCGCAUUGGCCGUGCCUUGAUGGGGAAACGGCUCCUCCCUCAGCCUCGAGGAAGCAUGGGCCAGAUGUAAGCUGGUGCAGCUCCACUGACUCCCAUGACAGCCCUGAAUGUGGCCCUUAUAAUGCAACUUGCUGUGUAAGCUGACUUGUGGCCAGACAGCAGAACAGACAGAAGCAGCAGGUUGGUGGGGGAGCGGUGCGAGCAUCGUGUGUGUUACCGCAGGUGGGAUGUGCAGAAAACCUCCUGGGUUCUAGUGCGUCGUUCUGCGAGCGGAGGCAGCAGGGGCCUUUCUUGCUCUAUGUCUGACCCAGCAGCUUGUCUCUUGUCAGCUAGAGAAUAUUUCUGGCUUAAGUCAGACAGCAUUUGAUCUAACAGAAGCCGCACCAGUUAGAUGGUGUGGGCCGGAGAUGGCAAACCACCUCGUCUGCCAGGAUAAGAUCUCUGAAAAUAACUCUCUUUCUCUGCUGUUUCAGAGAAGACUUUUUUUUUUUUUUUCAAAAAAUUGCUGGUUUCUAACACUCUGAUAACUUUAAUCUCCCCCCCCCCAAAAUCUAUAUUUAGGUCAAGGGAACAUUUGAUUUACAUCUGGUGUAAAUCAACAUAGCUCCAUUGUAAUCAGGGUAGGUAGGCUGAUUUGCACCAGCUGAGCAUCCGGCCCAGGGUUCCGAGAUCCUCCUGCUUGGUUUUACCUGCUCCUUCACUUCUGCAGGGCCCGUUCUGCCCCUUCGCCACAGCUUCGGAAGGCCCCAGAUGCAGUGGGACCAAUGCGGCUCCUCUGCAGCUGGAUGUA